AUGCCGCCAGCGUGCUAAUUGGCGCCAGUGCUAUUUUUCGUAAGCGCGAAAAAAAAAUCAUAAAGUCAUAACGAUUAAAAAAUUAUUUUAGUAUUUGGAAAUGAUGCCCUGAUCACCCCAUACUGGUAAGUCAAGAAAAAAAAAAUGAUCCAGGUUAUUAUUGUUGUUUAAUAAAAAAACAUUGACUUCAUCAUUCAUAUUUUUUUUGAUAUUCGCGCUUAUGAAAAAUAGCACUGGCGCCAAUUAGCACGCUGGCGGCAUUUGUUGCUUUUGUGCUCAUUGUUGUCGAAGCUCUUGUAAUUUUCAAAAAUGUAAAUUAACAUUAAGCCGUGCGUUAUUCUUUUGUGGAUCAAAUUAACUUCCUAUUAAAGAAAAAUUGCAACAUUGGCAUUACAAAUAGUUGAUAAGAUUUUAUUUUGUGAUUUGUUACAGUUGAGAUUGUGUUCUUGGUCUCUGAUCGUUUUAAUUCUUCAUUUGGAUUAUAGUUUUAUAAUGCAAGUAGUGAAGUAUUGAUAAAACCAGCAAUUUGGAGGGAAAAUCGUUUUACGGUGUGAAAACCUUGUGGUGUAGUCUCAGACCAAGUUGUGAUGCCGGGAUGGCUAUCGCUAGCUCAUGCAUUAUUUCUUCCAACACAUAAUCAUGUCUUUUACUAUUAUCAUCAAGAAAUAAUCAAAAUUUACUUUGGAUUAAAUGAAAUUGACAUCAAAUGUGACAGCAAUGACAUCUGUGUCAUUCGUAGUGAACUGUUUCCAAGGUAAUGGUACGCUCAAAAUUUAUACUUUUCUAUUCUGCAGAGCAGUGUAGAGUUUAGUUUAAUCCCAAAUAACUAGAGAACGGUACAGUUUGACGACAUGAAGCAAGAGUACCUUUUUUAUUAAAAAAUAAUUGGGCUUUUGAUUUUUGGUAUCAAAAAUACGUGUUUAUAGGCCGAAAAAUUGAGUUAUCACCUAAAAACUGGAAGGGCCCCCUUGUCACCGGAAAUGUAUAGCUUUUACAAGAUUUCCAUUUACACCAUAUCAAAGAGCGUCUUUGUGUCUCUUGGCAUGCAAAAUUUCAUAAUAAUCGCAUGAACGGUAACAAAAAUAUUUUCAAAAAACCAUUUUUCCAUACCAAUUUCUGAAAAAUUGUAAUUUUUCAAUUUUUUGAGGUGGGUCAGUAAAUACUAUCCUAUCUAUUUUCAUUUUUAGAGGGGUAUUCGUGGUUAAAAUUAUGCCACAUAUUUUUGAAUCACCCGAUAUAUUUCCUGAACAAUUGAAAAAAGUUUAGCACCCCAAAGAAUUUUUAGCUGCGUCGUUAGUAUUAACGAUUUAUAAGUUGAGCGUACUUAAUAAAAUAAAUUAAAUAAUUUGUUGAAAUUUGAAAUCACAAAGACUACAAAAGAACAAAUUGUUAAAAUGUUGGUGGUGCUAUUAGAAAUUUUAAAGGGUAAUUAGCGGCUUAAGGAUGAAACUUAAAAUGUUACUAAUGUUGGUUUUAAACUCUUUCAUUGCAUCCCUAAUCAAUAAAUAUUUUAUUAAAAUUAAAUUGGCUUCAGAUCAUGGUCCUCUAUGAUCAAAAAUUUUAAAAAUUUCAAAAAGAUAACCACCCUUAACUAAAAUACGAUUCGACAAUUUUUUUUUUCUUUGACAGUUAGAUACGCAAAUGUUUUUCCUUUCCGAAAACGUUUAAAAAACUAGGGGAUGCAAUUUAAAAUUUUAAAGUAGGGGUAGCUAGUGAUUAAGGGAUGCAACCUAAAAUGUAACUAACGUUGGUUUCCCCCACACGAUCCUAAUCGACCUGUCUUUGCUUGAAAAUAGAUUUGCUCAAUGUCGAAAAUUAUUGAGACUGUUUUAAAAUGAAAGCCCUGUAUGUCUCUCAGAACGUUAAAAUGCAACACAAUAUUUUUCUUAAAUGAAAAAUGAAAUAAAAACUACAAAUAAUAUUAAUAGUUUAGAUUAAUAAUUCAGGUUGCCGCCCGGGUACCGUGCACCUUUGCACCCCCGCGACGCUUAAGACGGCCCUGGUUCCUAGAGUGAAACCAACCCUUAGAAAUUGUAAAACUAAAAUUAAAAGAUGAAAACCUGAAAAAUUUAGGAAAUAAAUGUAAAAUAUAGAGAAUAUUCACAUUUUUAACAAAAUAGAUUUAGGUAUUUCGAGUUUUAAGGAACGCCCUUAAAAAAUGCGAGUUUGAGAAGUUUCCUAAGAUCCGAUAUAAAUUACUUAGCAUUGAAACUCAAUUUUAAUGACUUUGUUCUCUAAAAAUGCAAAUUUUAAAUAUUCCCACCACUCAAUUUUUUAGUGAUUUUUUAAUGGUAAUUGGUAAUAUUGGCACAUUAAUAACGAAAUGGCGCCUUGAUAGGCACUAAUUGGAGGAGAUUUUGCCAAAGAUUUUAUAUCGUGAAAUGUGUCAAAUCCGUUGUUUUCUUAAAACGUUUGUGCACAAGUUGAAAAAAAUGUUCGAUGUUUGUGGGGUUUGCCUUAGCAGUGAUUUGAAAAUUCGAAAAAGUUUGUAGAUUGGAGGUAAGUACCACCUCCGAUUUGAUUAAUCGCGAAUUCAGGAAGAUGGUAAUUUUAUGUUUUUUGCUUUCGUCUAGAAUUUAGUUCUGCAUUUUAGCCAAAUUGUUCAAUAGCUCUGAUGAAGAGUUGGUCUCUCAUUGUUUUUUUUUUUUCGGACAUGAUAAAAAAAUUACAGAUUCACCGUGAGUUUGCUUAUAAUUUAUUACAAUUUAACGAGUUUUGUUUUGAUUACUCUUUAAACGCACCCCUCAUGUGAAGUUAGUGAUUUUUGUUGUAAUAUUGGUAACAAUAAACAAUUGGUCCCUUGAUUGACUUCAUUGUGCUGGUGGUGGUUUUCCCAAUGGUUUUAUAACGUGAAAAAGUGUGUGAAAGUGUUGUUUUCUUAUCAAAUAUUGUGCAAAAGUUUAAAAAAACGUUCGGUGUUACGACGGUUUGCAAAAAUUAGCAGCGAUUUGAAUUUUUCCCAGUCGGUAUGUGCCGCCUAUGAUCUAAUUAAUCGGCAACGGCAUCGUAAUCGUAUUGACGGCGGGGGAGAGUUUUUGUGCAUUUUUCUAAGAAUCCAAUGUUUUAAAAACUCACCACGCAAAUACGAUAAAAACUUGAAACGAUGAUAACGAAACAAAUCGAAUUUGCGUAAAUGUCAACGACAGCACCCCCUUCCCCUGGAGUUUUUUAGUGAUUUUUAAUUGUACCAUUGGUAACAAUAAACAAUUGGUCUCUUGAUCAGAGUGAUCGACUCCAUCUAAAUGGAGGUGGUGGUUUGCCGGUUUUUUAGUGAAAAAAGUGUGUUAAAACUGUUGUUUGCUCAAAUAUUGUGCAAUAGUGUAAAAAAUCUUCGGUGUAAUUAACAGUGAUAAAGUUUUUCAAUUCGGAAGGGGCCACCUGUGAUUUUGGACGUGGGGGUGUUCGCGGUGAUGGUGCUGAGUUGAAAAUUCUCAAUUUUUACUUAAUUUUCAUUUUACAGAUAAGUGAAAUAAAAGAAAAUGUUGAUUUGUGACUUGUGAAGUGUGAAAAUGUGUUUAUUUUUGUGAAAUUUGGCUAAGCUACCCCAGUGGCGACAAAUAUUUUUUUCUCUUAAUUUGGUAUUCAAUGCAAGGUCACCACAGGAACCCAUGUAAAAUGUUCCAGGGAGUCAAUUGGCGUCAAAGAAACUGGAAAUUCUAGACAACUCGAAUGACUGAAAGUGGGUGUUGUGGAUUUUCGAGUGUUUAACAGACAUUUAGUAGUGCGCGAUUCUUAAAAUUUCGAGUGAUUAAAGUGCCAAUUGAAAGGAUCUUCAGGGAACCUGGACGCUAAAAUCAUGCUACAAGGAUCAGGAUUAAAG